rnacentral:rRNA from 1 species
CCCUUAGAGUUUGAUCCUGGCUCAGGAUGAACGCUAGCUACAGGCUUAACACAUGCAAGUCGAGGGGCAUCAGGAAGAAAGCCUGCUUUCUUUGCUGGCGACCGGCGCACGGGUGAGUAACACGUAUCCAACCUGCCCUUUACUCGGGGAUAGCCCUUCGAAAGAAAGAUUAAUACCCGAUAGCAUAAUGAUUCCGCAUGGUUUCAUUAUUAAAGGAUUCCGGUAAAGGAUGGGGAUGCGUUCCAUUAGGUUGUUGGUGAGGUAACGGCCCACCAAGCCUUCGAUGGAUAGGGGUUCUGAGAGGAAGGUCCCCCACAUUGGAACUGAGACACGGUCCAAACUCCUACGGGAGGCAGCAGUGAGGAAUAUUGGUCAAUGGGCGUUAGCCUGAACCAGCCAAGUAGCGUGAAGGAUGAAGGCUCUAUGGGUCGUAAACUUCUUUUAUAUAAGAAUAAAGUGCAGUAUGUAUACUGUUUUGUA